AGAAUAAGAUGCGGUAGCCAGUCAAAUAGCUGAUAUGAAGUAACAGCAAAUUAGAUUGGUUUCAUUGCACCACUGAGUCCUUUCUGAGAGUUCUCAGUUGGGUUUGGUUGCAUCUGUUUCCUGAAGGCAUCAGUGCAGAGAGACAACAUGCAGGGAACAGUGGAAUGGGCUUCCCAGAAACACUUGGUCUACCAGGAGACACUCUGACGCACACACCACGACCUGGCUGGGAUCAGCAAGGCCUCAUCCUGCCGUUACUAUACCUGCACACACCUAUGCAGGCACGCAGGUUCUCAUCCACAUCACAAUGGAUGCUUUCAUUAGCCAAACAUCUUGGGAAGAAUCUUCAGGCAUGGCGAAUCCAGGCCUGACACUGGUCUGCCGUGAUGUCAUUGUAUGCGUCAUCCAUGGCCUGGAGAAGGGUGGCUUGUUCCUGAGGGCGCCUAUCAUAUACCUUCCAACUCCAUGUGGAGAAAAAAAAUCCUCAAUCGGGUUAAGGAAAGGAGAGUAUGGGGUGAGAGGCCUUGGCAUUUCAACCACCACAACAAGGCUGUGACCUUUGCAGCCAUCUCCACCUCCUGCCAUCCCUACUGGGUUUUGAAGGGACUGAAGCCUGUUGUUUUCGUUUGUAGCACUUCAUUCGAAGGAUACCUACAAGGAUUUCAUAUCCCGUUCCUAAGCAGUACACGUUUAUAUAUGUGUUAACAGCACACUGCUGCUAAUAUACUGCAACCCACAAGGGUACAUGAAGACGCAAUGGCUAAAUGUGGUGUAAGUUUCGGGAAGCAUCUGGUUUUGAACAUGAUUGGAUGUAUAAACAGUUUGUGAUGUGAUCUGAGAACAGCUUGAUCAUAAACAUAUGUCCAGACCAGUACAUACUGUAUGGUUAUUCAGUUAGGGGGGGAAUUCAGACCCGAGAUUAAGCGCGUGUAAAUGGAACAUAAUUCCUUUUGAAUGCGCUUUUCUCUCUAUGUGUAUUCUGACCUUGAAUUUAAGCAUGAGAAUAGCAUGCCAUUCACACGCUAUUCGUUUGAGGUGGAGCUGGAUUAAAUGAAGGUGUGGCAGAGGUGUGUCUACAGAUACACUGUAUUCUGACCUCGACUUAACCCUCCCGUUGUGUUCGUUUCAUGUUAAUUAAUUAUGCAUUCCCGGUCCAAAAUGACCGCCCCAUUAUAGCUGAUUAUAAAUCCAUAAUAAUUCAUAUAUUAUCACCUAGUGUUGCGUUAGAUCUUUUUAUCAACUUAAGUUCUUCUGAACAGUUCUUGUGUUCAUUCUUGUGAACAAGUUUUGAACUUCUAUUUGCUAUUUAUGACCUGUAGGCCUCAUUGACCUGAGCUCAUACAACUAAUUUUUGAGUAAAAAAAAGUAUAAUGUAUGGAUUAUUUUGACUAUAAGAAAUACUCAGAUGAAAGAUAAUGUGCUAUUUAUCACAGACUACUUUGUGUCAAAGUUUAACAAGGACUCUCUCCUCCUCACCAGUGUCAUGAUUAAAGAUAUGAUCAAGAGCCUCACAUACAGUACAUCGUUUGGUCAUUGUGCUGCCACAGAAUGAAUUGUGAGCAAGGCCUCAAAAAAGCUUUAUAUACCAG
rnacentral:lncRNA from 1 species